UGGGGAAUAUUGCACAAUGGGCGCAAGCCUGAUGCAGCCAUGCCGCGUGUAUGAAGAAGGCCUUCGGGUUGUAAAGUACUUUCAGCGGGGAGGAAGGGAGUAAAGUUAAUACCUUUGCUCAUUGACGUUACCCGCAGAAUAAGCACCGGCUAACUCCGUGCCAGCAGCCUCGGUAAUACGGAGGGUGCAAGCGUUAAUCGGAAUUACUGGGCGUAAAGCGCACGCAGGCGGUUUGUUAAGUAAGAUGUGAAAUCCCCGGGCUCAACCUGGGAGAUGCCUCUGAUAAUGGCAAGCUUCAGUCUCGUAGAGGGGGGUAGAAUUCCAGGUGUAGCGGUGAAAUGCGUAGAGAUCUGGAGGAAUACCGGUGGCGAAGGCGGCCCGCUGUACGAAGACUGACGCUAAGGUGCGAAAGAGUGGGGAGCAAACAGG
rnacentral:rRNA from 1 species